rnacentral:tRNA from 2 species
AAGGCUUUAAGUUAAAUAAACUAAUAGCCUUCAAAGCUGUAAAUAUAGGUAUUCCUUUAAGCCUUA